UACAGAGGUGGCAAGCGUUGUUCGGAAUUACUGGGCGUAAAGGGCGCGUAGGCGGCUUUUUAAGUCGAACGUGAAAUCCCCGGGCUCAACCCGGGAACUGCGUCCGAUACUGGCUGGCUUGAAUCCGGGAGAGGGAUGCGGAAUUCCAGGUGUAGCGGUGAAAUGCGUAGAUAUCUGGAGGAACACCGGUGGCGAAGGCGGCAUCCUGGACCGGUAUUGACGCUGAGGCGCGAAAGCCAGGGGAGCAAACGGG
rnacentral:rRNA from 1 species